UUUGGCACAUUAAAAUACCCAGUUAACUCCCCCCCCUCCCUUCUCCUAUUAGAGAAGGCAUCAUUUGACAAAAAGAUACAUGUAUAUAUGAAGCUAUAUCUUACUUAUUUCUAUUGAUCGGUUCUUUCUCUGGAGACGGAUAUACAAAUGUUAUUUCUUUUGCUCUCUAGAAUGUUCUCUCGGUUCUGCUCAUACACACGUCGUUUAGCCAUUCGCCAGGUGCUGGGCAUCCCCUCUGGUUCCAGUUCUUUGCCCCCACAAAGAGCUGCUAGAGAUAUUUUGGAGCUUGGAGGUUCUUUUCCUCUCCCCCAUCACCUCCGGUCAGCUUGGCUAAUUCUCUUUCAUUUCUGGCAUCCUAGAAGCCAGCUGGGCUCCUCUCUCUGCUUCUGCAUUCAGUGUGUUGGGAUGGUGUUGAGGUUGAAGCAGAAAACAAAUCCUCACAGACGUCAAGCUGGCAAAGGGAGGAGGGUCUGAAUGACUUUUCAGGUCAGGCUGGAUAUUCGUGUCGAUACUGUGUGGAUGCUCAGUAAGGGGCUGUUUCUCAAAGGUUGGUUGCAAUGGGAAACUGACAGCACACGAUGAACCUUUUCCUCCUUUGUUUCAUUACAUGCGAUUGGCUGUUGAUGCACGACAUCGUAGCAUUCCGCACUGGCCAUUUGGAAAGGCCGAGGGGUGCGUGUCCUCCCAAUGUUGACACAUUUCACGAUACAGUAUAGACACAUAAGUUCCAUUUGCUAACGCCACCACCGAGCUCGUCCAGAAAGGCUUUGGCAAGCCAUCGACUUCUGGGUGGUGAACGUUUCCCAAAAUUCUGAUUUUCCUUUGGAAGCUCAGCUUUUCUCACUGGUGACAAAUCCUGCCAGUUGUUAUGUUGACGAGGUGAGAGGAUGGCCAAACACUCCUGUCUGACCCAACGUUGGUCAGCCAUUCUUUCGAGUACAAAUGGUGCUCCAUGAAAAAGAAUCGGCUCAAACACUUUCAGUCUGCUUUGAGGAAGUUGAUAAAAAUAUGAAUGAAGAAAAAACUGUAAGAUUUCCCCUCGAUCACAGAACAGGAAUUAGAAUCAGAAGAUAAAGAAGAAGAUGAUCAGCUGUUCUCAAUACAUUUAGGGAAGUCACCAAGCCCAGAUGAAUUACAUGCCAGGGCACUAAACAGACGGGCAGCGACGAUAGUUGAGCUCCUGUCAGUGAUCUCCGAAAGGUCACAGAGAAUUGGCAAGACGCCACAGAAUUGGAGAAGGGCAAAUGUGCUUGUGUAUGAGUGUCAGAGCAGCUCAAGGAAACGUGGAAAUGCCAUGUAUGUUUUUGGUUGCCUCUCUGAGGUUCCGAACAAAUGUGGAACAGUAACAAGAGAACGGCAGCAACAACACGAAGCGAUCACUAGCAGACCACCACCUCACAGCUGCCAGGAUUUUCCUGGACCCUUACUUUGCUUUCUCCAGAAACUGCACUGGGAAUUUCACAAUGGCAAUGCCAGAGGCAGCGCUAAUUGCAGCACCCACCUCUCCUAUUUUCUUUUCUUUACAGAUCAGAAUUAGAUUUGGGAUCAGCUUCUUCCUUGUUCAGACAGAGGAGGAGAAGGAGGGAAGGAGAGGUUAUGCUUCUCAAUGUGACAUCUGUUCUCCUAGGGAAAUAAUCAGCAGCCUCUUAAUUCAUCCAAGAAGUCAGGAACAGGGCCAAGGAAGGACUGGAGGGAAGCCUACUUGAGCUCCUCCAAAAAGUGGAAGCUCCAAGAGGGGACUCACCAGUGUAGAGAGGGAGUCAAAGUGGGACUCGUGGAGGGACAUUUCAAGGAGUGUGGGCCCUGGAGGGAGAAGGUUGUUCAAGAGUAACGAGGCCCCACGCACCAACGGAAGUUUCUAGGAUGAGCCAGCCAUGGAGGGGGCAGAGUUUUGAAGUUCAAAGGGAGAUAGGAAUAGGCUCAUAGGUCAUAUGGAAGCACUGGGGUUUACUGUGGGGAGCCAUCAGGCCACAGCACCUUGACAGAGUCACGUGUGGUAGGUAAGGAGGCCACAGAGUGGUCCUUGGCAAGAUGUGACUGCCCACUCUGUCCCCUUUUACAUGACCUCUUUCAUCAAUGCCCCUUACCUAUGGAAUUGACAUGAUUAUUAUUCCCCCAAGUCUCAGAAGGAAUAAUGCAAGAGCAAAAUACCUGUACCCUAAUUCUCUAAAACAUCACCAAAAGAUCAGACCCUCAAACCCAAUCCCAAAAGACUACCAUGGGUUAACUUUUACUUAGGUACAUAAUCCCCAGUGAAACAGCAGCUACAGGCCAAGCCCAAAACUUUCCCACUCACAGAAACCUAUUCUCAUGAAGCCAACACACAAAUCAAUCAUAAAGGCCCAUACAAAAUGUACAGGUACAUCAAGCUUCAAUAUGCCUCAGUGACUUGAUUUCACAAACCAGUAACUCAGAAACUCCCUAGUAAACCCUGAAAAAUGAUUAGUCUAAUAUUCAAUCUGAAUUGUGUUCUCAGUACCCCUCAACCUCAAUGAUACAAUUGUUGAUUUGUCUUUUAAGAACUGUUGAUUAAUUAUUCCAUUUUAUUAAAAGCAAUAAGUAAUUUUCUUUGAUUGUUUGUAAGCUCAAAACUCCUCACAGGGUAAUGAGAAAAUUAAGCCACCUGUGACAAAAUCUUGUGUGAAACCUUUAUGCUGUCUGUAAUCACAAUACAAGAAUAUAGAAUGUUAAUCAAGUGAUUUAUUAAAAGUUAAUGUAUCACUUUUCCAAUUAUCUCUCUUUGGACAUGUGUGUUGGGUAAUGUAUCUGUUUGGCAAGAAAAUGGGUAUAAAAAUAAACACCAGGCCUGGGGAUGGCAGAGCAGCUAUCAGUUGCAAAGCAUUCCCAUGGCUGUAAAGAUA